UGUCCGUCUAGGCUGCAAAGUGAAUAGACAACCGGGUGAAACUCCCGGACGGUACCGCCGCUGUGUAUACAUUGAAACAGCUCGUUGACGAAAGUCAGUCACUGGAUUUCCGGGAAGGCAGAACUGUUUUAAGGGAAUUUCCCAGAUGUAUGAGUCAGAAGACCUGCUCAAUU
rnacentral:ncRNA from 1 species